UACGGAGGGUGCAAGCGUUGCUCGGAAUUAUUGGGCGUAAAGGGUAGGUAGGUGGUCUUAUUUGUCUGGGGUGAAAGCCUUGAGCUUAACUCAAGAAGUGCCCCAGAAACGGUGAGACUGGAGUCCUGGAGAGGGUCGUGGAAUUCCCGGUGUAGCGGUGAAAUGCGUAGAGAUCGGGAGGAACACCAGAGGCGAAAGCGGCGACCUGGACAGGUACUGACACUCAACUACGAAAGCGUGGGGAGCAAACCGG
rnacentral:rRNA from 1 species